rnacentral:rRNA from 1 species
ACACGCAUGACACACUGCAUAUCAAUAAGCGGAGGAAAAGAAACUAACAAGGAUUCCCCUAGUAACGGCGAGUGAAGCGGGAAGAGCUCAAAUUUGAAAUCUUCAAGGGUUUACCUUUACGAAUUGUAGUUUAAAGAAGUGUUUUCUGUUGGAGUUUGGUAAAAGUUCUUUGGAAUAGGACAUCAUAGAGGGUGAGAAUCCCGUAUUUGACCGUUACUUUCCUAGUUGUGUGAUACACUUUCAAAGAGCUCGGAUUGUUUGGGAAUGCAGUCCAAAAUGGGUGGUAAAUUUCAUCUAAAGCUAAAUAUUGGCGAGAGACCGAUAGCGAACAAGUACCGUGAGGGAAAGAUGAAAAGAACUUUGAAAAGAGAGUUAAACAGUACGUGAAAUUGUCAAAAGGGAAGCGUUUGACACCAGUGUUGUUUUUCCGAAAAUCAAUUACGAAUGUUUUGUUUUUAAGGAGUUAUGACUUCAUCGGCUUGCUCCUUUCUUUAUGAAACUUUCUUAAUGCACUUUUCGGUUAACAAGUCAACAUCAAUUUCUUUUGUCGUAAAAGGGUAUGAGGAAGGUGGCUUUCUUUUCGGAGAAAGUGUUUAUAGCCUUGUACCUCUGCAAUCGGAGAGAUUGAGGUCUGCAGCGUAGAUCCUUCGGGGUUAGAUACAUUUGUGCUAAGUUAUAGCUUUUUCAUAGACAACUUGUUGACUAUGAUUAAGUCAUUGUAGCUUACUCGCUUAUGCUAUUUUACCUACGCUUAGGAUGUUGACUGAUAUGUAGUCGUA